rnacentral:rRNA from 1 species
UACAGAGGUCCCAAGCGUUGUUCGGAUUCAUUGGGCGUAAAGGGUGCGUAGGUGGCGCGCUAAGUCAGGUGUGAAAUUUCGGAGCUUAACUCCGAAACUGCAUUUGAUACUGGCGUGCUUGAGGACUGGAGAGGAGACUGGAAUUUACGGUGUAGCAGUGAAAUGCGUAGAGAUCGUAAGGAAGACCAGUGGCGAAGGCGGGUCUCUGGACAGUUCCUGACACUGAGGCACGAAGGCCAGGGGAGCAAACAGG